UACGUAGGGGGCAAGCGUUGUCCGGAAUCAUUGGGCGUAAAGAGCGUGUAGGCGGCCAGAUAAGUCCGCUGUGAAAACUCGAGGCUCAACUUCGAGCUGUCGGUGGAAACUAUUUGGCUAGAGUCCGGAAGAGGAGAGUGGAAUUCCUGGUGUAGCGGUGAAAUGCGCAGAUAUCAGGAGGAACACCGGUGGCGAAGGCGGCGUUCUGGACUGCAACUGACACUGAGAAACGAAAGCCAGGGUAGCAAACGGG
rnacentral:rRNA from 1 species